rnacentral:rRNA from 1 species
UACGAAGGGGGCUAGCGUUGCUCGGAAUCACUGGGCGUAAAGCGCACGUAGGCGGCUCUUUAAGUCAGGGGUGAAAUCCCAAGGCUCAACCUUGGAACUGCCUUUGAUACUGGGGAUCUCGAGUCCGGAAGAGGUUGGUGGAACUGCGAGUGUAGAGGUGAAAUUCGUAGAUAUUCGCAAGAACACCAGUGGCGAAGGCGGCCAACUGGUCCGGAACUGACGCUGAGGUGCGAAAGCGUGGGGAGCAAACAGG